rnacentral:misc_RNA from 1 species
CAAGUACUAAUGAAUUGGGAGAGCUAAAGAAACUUGACAGUUUUGGAAGAUGGAUGGAUAAAGAAAUUGGUGGAGAUUGUGAUGAUUCUCUGAUGGCCUCUGACUCUGGCAAUUAUUGGAAUACAUUGGAUACUGAGAAUGAUGACAAGGAAGUGUCAAGUUUGUCACACCAUAUGCAGUUAGAUAUUGAAUCAUUGGGUCCUUCUCUUUCCCAGGAGCAGUUAUUUAGCAUUCGAGAUUUCUCACCAGACUGGGCUUAUUCUGGUGUUGAAACAAAGGUUCUAAUCAUUGGUACAUUUUUAGGGAGCAAGAAGUUUUCUAGUGAAACCAAAUGGGGCUGUAUGUUUGGUGAAAUUGAAGUUUCUGCUGAGGUUCUAACAGAUAAUGUUAUCAGAUGUCAGGCCCCUCUACAUGCUACUGGGCGGGUCCCAUUCUAUGUCACUUGUUGUAACAGGUUAGCAUGCAGUGAGGUGAGGGAAUUUGAAUACCGUGA